AAUGAACGCUGGCGGCGCGCCUAAUACAUGCAAGUCGAGCGAGAAGACGUAGCAAUACGUUUGUAAAGCGGCGAACGGGUGAGGAAUACAUGGGUAACCUACCCUCGAGUGGGGAAUAACUAGCCGAAAGGUUAGCUAAUACCGCGUACGCUCCUUGGACUUCGGUUCAGGGAGGAAAGCGAUACCGUGGGUAUCGCGCUCUUGGUUGGGCUCAUGUCCUAUCAGCUUGUUGGUGAGGUAACGGCUCACCAAGGCUUCGACGGGUAGCUGGUCUGAGAGGACGAUCAGCCACACUGGCACUGCGACACGGGCCAGACUCCUACGGGAGGCAGCAGUAAGGAAUAUUGCGCAAUGGGCGAAAGCCUGACGCAGCGACGCCGCGUGGGGGAUGAAGGUCUUCGGAUUGUAAACCCCUUUCGGGAGGGAAGAUGGAACGAGCAAUCGUUCGGACGGUACCUCCAGAAGCAGCCACGGCUAACUUCGUGCCAGCCGCCGCGGU
rnacentral:rRNA from 1 species